AUGCAAGACUAUUUUGCGGAGAAUCCUACAUAUCCUCUGCACCUCUUCUGGAGAAGGUACCGAAUGCGUCGAUCCCUCUUUGUGAAAAUUGUUGAAGCUUGCGAGGCAAAUUGCCGGUAUUUUACUCAAAGAAGAAAUGCCGCGGGCUUAAAGGGAUUUAGUGCAUAUGAAAAAAUCUCCGCAGCUAUGCGGGUGAUUGCAUAUGGCGUUCCGGCUGACUAUGACGACGAGUAUCUUCGCAUUGGUGAAGAUAGCACAAUUGAGUCUGUGCGUAGAUUUGUGAAAGUGAUCAUUCGUGUCUUCGGUCCUGAGUAUCUUCGGGCACCCAAUGAAGAUGACACAAAGUAA
rnacentral:rRNA from 1 species